GCCCACCCACGCACAAUCUCAGUCCUCGCAAUACCCACAAGGAGAAAUUCUCAGCCUCGGGGAAGAGUAUUUCUUGAUGAGGGAAGAGCGCGGGGAAGACACUCACGCACGCACAAACAUGUGGGCGGCCAUGGUGUGCCCAGCGCCGUGCUGGCUUCUGGGAACCCCCAGUGGACAAGACGGACAAGCCCGCGUGCCUGCGCAGUCCCCUCCCCGAGAACCAUCCCCUUGCCCCGCCCAGCGUCAGGGGUGCGCGGCCGC
rnacentral:lncRNA from 10 species